UGAUAGGUGCGCACCUUUGGUCAAAGAGAGAGAGAGAGACUUUAUAUGUACAAUGCACUAUCUUUCGAAAUGAUGCUCAUCCAUGUUUUCAAAGUGGGUUGACGUUGAAACAUUUGUACCACGAUACACGGCUUAUCGUCAACUCCAUUUGCUCAACAUUGUUAUAUAUAGCAUUCUCAGUCUCACUGAUUCUCUACAUGUACACACGUUUAUCGUAGAAUCAUACAUUCCAAUAGAGAGGACAAUGCUUCACAAGACCUCCCUCGUCUUCCUUCUUUUCCUAGCCCUUUCAUCUCACGCAAUCAUCUCUUCGAAUGGUCCCGCUGCCGCCACCCGCCCGAUGAGCAGCGGAGGAUGCAGCUCCGGAUAUAUGGCGGUGAGCAAGAUUGGUGUUGUUGGAAGUAGACCCGAGCAUGCCUCUUCAAAAGUGAACCCCCCAGGCCCGCCGUCGUCAAGAUUCAAAUGAUCCUCGACUAUUGAACUUUCUGUUCGGCUGCUCCUAGUUUCUUUUGGUGUUUUAAGGAAACAAUACAAAAUAAUAAUUUACUUUCGAUCCUCUCCAUGGUUAAUAAGGGUUUUCCUACAUACUUCAGUUCAUGGAGCUCAAAUGAUUCCCUUGAAUACACCGCCAAUGGGAAAUGAUUUAAUUUGGUGGUUUGUUGAA